rnacentral:rRNA from 1 species
UGACCUCGGAUCAGGUAGGGAUACCCGCUGAACUUAAGCAUAUCAUGGGGGAA